CCUGCAGAUGGCAGAUGGUGAUAUGGCAGAUAUCAAAAGAUCAAGGUGGUAGAUGGGACAAGACAAAUUCUGUGCAGAGUUUUCACUCAUUAGGAAGUCAUUCCUCUAACUUGAGGUUGCUUUCAAAUGUUCACAUGGAAACUCCUGCGGAAAGGCUGAUGCAUUCAACAUGGUCAGUUGUUUGUUUCUUCUCUGGGAAGAAGUCUGGUCUUUCCUCAGCCAAGCUGGAGAGGCGGUGGCGGUCCAGAGCAUGAACACAGAAGAGAGAAUCUUUUACCUGACUUCCACCCAAGAGAGCCUAUUUCUCCAGGGAGUUCAAGUCAAGGAGGCCACAUUUCACCAGGACCCUGGUGUGCAACCAGUUUACCUAAGCCAAGCAUCUUCUGCAGAAAAAGUUGGGCCUUUCUAAAGCAUCUUCUUCAGACUUUCUCUUCCCCUACCUACUCUCAAAGUGUUUUACAGCUCUUAAGACUCAUCUGCUGAAAUCCAGCAGUUGGGGUGUCUCGGGAUCACAGGAUGUGGUGGAGAUGACCCCAGGAAGUUAUUGCAUAUGCGCCAAGGGCGCUUUCCUCACCUCCCUCAUCUCCCAGGACUGUGGUAAGGCCUACAUGCUGCUGUCAGUCACCCUCAUUCCAGAAGAAAAAGAGGACAUGAAGAGAGUAAAGAGAAGGAAUGAGCACUUGGGGUCACAGCUCUCCUUUAGUGGUUGAAAUGAAGAGCCUUGGAAGCGCCAAGCACAGAAUCACCUGCUCCUGUGGGCACUACCUCAUUGAAUCCGUGUGAACCGCCGUUUUCUAGUGUGAAGAACUUGACUCUCAGGGAAGUUAAUGAGUGUCUCAAGAUCACACAGCCAGUAAAAAGAAGAGUUCUCUGAUUCUAACCUAGGUCAGUCUAAUUUCAAGUUAGAUCGACUGGGGUAAAGUUAAAAGGAACACUCCCAAAGGUUUUUUUUUUUUUGGCUAGAUUUUUGCUAGAUCAUAAUGAGGCAUGAAAAAGAGGAAAGCACUUUUAGAAAGAGACCUGAAACUGCAGAAGACCCAGAGUUUAGAGGAACAUCAAGGCAAGAGACUGGAAAGGCCAGUUUAGGAAUGAGUCAGCAAUUUCUCGGGGCUAUUCAAUUUAUUUAAUUUUUAAAAAGAGAGUAAAAAAGUGUUCUUUUUUUUUUGAAAAGCAAAAUACCCAACCAGGGAAUGCUCUCUGCCCUACAUAGCAUCUAUCAUACGAUGCUGCAGACUUUCUGAAACCAUCAACCGUGUAUGCGUGUGGAAUUAUUCCCUCAAGGAAAGCAGAUGAAACUCUGGGGCAUAAGCUUCGUAUAACUGCUGGAGAGAGAUGGAAACGGACACUCUGGGG